AUUGAACGCUGGCGGCAUGCCUUACACAUGCAAGUCGAACGGCAGCACGGGAGCAAUCCUGGUGGCGAGUGGCGAACGGGUGAGUAAUAUAUCGGAACGUGCCCAGUCGUGGGGAUAACGUAGCGAAAGCUACGCUAAUACCGCAUACGAUCUAUGGAUGAAAGCGGGGGAGUCGCAAGACCUCGCGCGAUUGGAGCGGCCGAUAUCAGAUUAGGUAGUUGGUGAGGUAAAGGCUCACCAAGCCGACGAUCUGUAGCUGGUCUGAGAGGACGACCAGCCACACUGGGACUGAGACACGGCCCAGACUCCUAUGGGAGGCAGCAGUGGGGGAAUUUUUGGACAAUGGGCGCAAGCCUGAUCCAGCAAUGCCGCGUGCAGGAUGAAGGCCUCGGUUGUAAC
rnacentral:rRNA from 1 species